rnacentral:tRNA from 1 species
GUAAAUUUGGCAGACAUAUGUAGCAGAGUUAGAAUCUGAUGAUGAAGAUUAAACUUCUUCAAUUUAUA